GCAGCUUUGUUUUUCAGCUUGUUACUGCAACUUCUCAUAUCAGUCAGCUCUUCCUGGUUAUAUUUACACUAGUGACAAACAACUUCUAAUCAUUUGAGAGGAGAGAGGAGAAUUUACAACUGAAAUCAUGGGAGUAACAGUACAUAUCGAAUACUGUGGAGGAUGAGGGUAUGCAGGCCGUUAUCAGAAACUUGCUAAGGAAAUCAAGGAGCAAGUUCCCGAUGCUGAGAUUUUGGGGGAAGUGGGGAGGAGAGGAAGCUUUGAAGUCAAGAUAAAUGGCAAGCUGGUAUUUUCUAAAAUUGAAACUUCUGGCUUCCCUUUUCCAGAAGAUAUUGUGGAAGCAAUUAAAAAAAUAAAGGAUGGAAGCGGUUCAGUUGAGAAAAUUACCAGGAAGCAAGCAACAGAAUGCAUCGUUCUUUAGAAGAAACUACAGAGUUUAAACUGCUUAGAAAAGCCACCCAGAUUACAAAUGGGGAACAGAUUCUUUUAAUGACUGUUUUUAUCAAAAAAGAAGAUAAAAAGUAGGAGAAAAUGAAGAGUCGUUCCAACUUUAAUCUGGUGUGCUGAACUACAAUAAAGCAAAAGGAGUUCAUGGCAACCUUA